AAGAUUUAAGUUAAAAAAACUAAUAGCCUUCAAAGCCUUAAUUGAUCUAAAAUCAAUCUUUA
rnacentral:tRNA from 1 species